rnacentral:rRNA from 1 species
UGGGGAAUAUUGCACAAUGGGCGCAAGCCUGAUGCAGCAACGCCGCGUGAGGGAUGACGGCCUUCGGGUUGUAAACCUCUUUUAGCAGGGAAGAAGCGAAAGUGACGGUACCUGCAGAAAAAGCACCGGCUAACUACGUGCCAGCAGCCGCGGUAAUACGUAGGGUGCAAGCGUUGUCCGGAAUUAUUGGGCGUAAAGAGCUCGUAGGCGGUCUGUCGCGUCUGCUGUGAAAUCCCGAGGCUCAACCUCGGGCCUGCAGUGGGUACGGGCAGACUAGAGUGCGGUAGGGGAGAAUGGAACUCCUGGUGUAGCGGUGGAAUGCGCAGAUAUCAGGAAGAACACCGAUGGCGAAGGCAGUUCUCUGGGCCGUAACUGACGCUGAGGAGCGAAAGCGUGGGGAGCGAACAGGAUUAGAUACCCUGGUAGUCCACGCCGUAAACGUUGGGCGCUAGAUGUGGGGACCAUUCCACGGUUUCCGUGUCGCAGCUAACGCAUUAAGCGCCCCGCCUGGGGAGUACGGCCGCAAGGC